GCACUUGUAGCUUAGUGGAUAGAGCGUCUGUUUCCUAACUUGAAGCAUUUAGGUUUGACCCCUAGCUAGUGCG
rnacentral:tRNA from 1 species